UAGGGAAUCUUCCGCAAUGGACGAAAGUCUGACGGAGCAACGCCGCGUGAGUGAUGAAGGUGUUCGGAUCGUAAAGCUCUGUUGCCAGGGAAGAACGCUUAGUGGAGUAACUGCCAUUAAAGUGACGGUCCCUGAGAAGAAAGCCCCGGCWAAYUACUUG
rnacentral:rRNA from 1 species